rnacentral:rRNA from 1 species
AAAAUAAAAUUUAGAGAUCUUUUGAUAUAUUUAAGAAAGCUUAAAUAAAGAUUCGAAGUUUUGAAAGGGAAACAUCCUGCAUUAAGAAAUAUUAAUUGUUGGCAAAGUUAGUAGUGGAGAGCGGGGGCUUUGUAUUUAAGUUUAGAAAGAUAGUGAAAUUUUGUUAUUGGGGGCCACCGAUAGAGAAGAGUACUGUGAAGGAAAGUUAAAAAUUUUGUCUUUAAAGCAGAUAUUGUUAUCGUACCUUUUGUAUAAGGGGUUUGUAAGAAGUUUUUAGCGAGGCGAGGGUCGUAAUGAGAGUGAGUCUUCUGUAGUUAAAAAUCCCGAAACUAAGUGAUCUAAUUAUGGGCAGCCUGAAGUUAUAUGGGAGUAUAAUGGAGGGGCGAACUGGUAACUGUGGCAAAAGUUUCAGAUGAUCUAUAGUUGGUGGUGAAAGACUAAUCGAACUUAGAAAUAGCUGGUUUUCUACGAAAUUUAUUUUAGUAAAGUGAAAAUUUAAAUAAGUCUUAUUUGUGGGGAGUGUAUUUUAUAUUUUCAAUGAGAGUGGGGGCGUAAAGUUGUCGCUCGAGAGGGGAAAAGCCCGGAUAUUAGCUAAAGGCGUUAAAAAAUUUUAAGUGCAAAAGGGGGAUUAAUUUAGAUAAAAAGAAAGUGGGCUUGGAAGUAGCCAUCUUAUAAAGAGUGUGUAAUUACAUAAUUUUCAAGUUAUGGCCCUUGAAAAUGUGGGCGACUUAAAAAAGUAUUAAAGCUAUGGGGAUUAAAAGAUUUAGGUAGUAGAAUAUACUGUAUUGGAUAAUGAAAAUAGAUCAGUAGAAAUAAUGCAAACAUGAGUAAAAAAUACCUGGGGGUAGUAUAAUUUAUAAUUUAAGACUAUCGGGGAUAGUUGAAGAGGAAUGGGGGUUCCGACUGACAAUAGAGGGUAUUUAAAUGAAUGAUUUUAUAUUAAGGAAUUCGGCAAAAUGUUUUUGUAAGAUUACGAGAAGAAAAGAGUUUAAUUAAACAAAAUGGCUUUAAUUAGACAAAAAUUAGGAGGUGUCGACUGUUUCGCAAAAACAUAGCUUCUAGUAAAGAAUAGAGGUGAGACCUGUCCAGUGACUAUUUCUAAAUAUCGUUUCGAUUAUAAGGGUAGUUAAACGGCCGCGGUAAUUAUGACCGUGUUAAAGUAGCGCAAUCAAUCGCCAAUUAAUUGUUGGCAAGUAUGAAGGUUUCACGAAUGCCUCACUGUCUCAAUAUAAAGUUUAUUGAAAUUGGAAUUUUAGUGAAGAUACUAAAUAGUAAUUGAAAGACGAGAAGACCCCGUGAGCUUUACUGGAGUGUUAAUUAUUAUUAAUACAGACAGUUUAGUUGGGGCGACUCCCCUAUAAAGAGUAACUAGGGGGCUUGUGGGUUAAGAAAUAGUUAAACCUAAGACAAUAAGGGGGUCCUCCCAAAUUGGCAUGUAGUUUUUUGGUUUAUCAAAAUCUUUUAUAACUUGGUGGGAUAUAUUGAUCCGUAAUUUGUGGAUUACGAGAGCGGCAAAAAGUUACCGCGGGGAUAACAGGGUAAUUUUGUUUGAGAGUUCGUAUCGAAGACGAAGUUUGCUACCUCGAUGUUGAAUUGUGAUAUCCUGAAGGCGCAGGAGUUUUCAAGGGUUGGACUGUUCGUCCAUUAAAAUCGCACAUGAUUUGAGUUCAGACCGGCGUGAGCCAGGUCGGUUUCUAUCUUCAAUUAUAUUAUGUCUUUUAUUUUUUUAGUACGAAAGGAGGAAAAAGAGCUUGUUCUAUGAUUUGUAAUUAAGACAAAGAGUUAAUUAUUAAAUACAUAUAUAAGAAACUUAAAGAGAAUGUUAUUUGAGAUAAAAGUAAUUAAAAUACUAAUAAUGNNNNNNNNNNNNNNNNNNN